rnacentral:tRNA from 1 species
GAUAAAAUGGCUGAAACUAAAGGCAAUAAACUGUAAAUUUAUUCAUGAAAAUUUUUUCUUUUAUCA